UGCAGUCGAACGAUGAUCAGGAGCUUGCUUCUGUGAUUAGUGGCGAACGGGUGAGUAACACGUGAGUAACCUGCCCCUGACUCUGGGAUAAGCGUUGGAAACGACGUCUAAUACUGGAUAUGACUUCCGGCCGCAUGGUCUGGUUGUGGAAAGAUUUUUUGGUUGGGGAUGGACUCGCGGCCUAUCAGCUUGUUGGUGAGGUAAUGGCUCACCAAGGCGACGACGGGUAGCCGGCCUGAGAGGGUGACCGGCCACACUGGGACUGAGACACGGCCCAGACUCCUACGGGAGGCAGCAGUGGGGAAUAUUGCACAAUGGGCGAAAGCCUGAUGCAGCAACGCCGCGUGAGGGAUGACGGCCUUCGGGUUGUAAACCUCUUUUAGUAGGGAAGAAGCGAAAGUGACGGUACCUGCAGAAAAAGCACCGGCUAACUACGUGCCAGCAGCCGCGGUAAUACGUAGGGUGCAAGCGUUGUCCGGAAUUAUUGGGCGUAAAGAGCUCGUAGGCGGUUUGUCGCGUCUGCUGUGAAAUCCCGAGGCUCAACCUCGGGCUUGCAGUGGGUACGGGCAGACUAUAGUGCGGUA
rnacentral:rRNA from 1 species